UUAAGUUGCAUCUGUUGGGCUUUUAGUGACAAGAAAAGUAGCUAACAUACUGUUUACAGAAGUCAUGUCAACAAGAAGCACCCAUAAUGCCUUCAAAGGGAGAAUGAAUUUGAAAUGCUAUUUACUUAUUGGAGAAUGAACUGAAGCUAGAUGUAGUAACAGUAUAUUAACAGCAUGUUAAGAGAAAAAUAUUUUUUAAAUGUUUAUGGAAGGAAACCAUUCACAAGUUGAUAGAACAUUCCAGAGCAUACAAAACAAAAUCAUUUUUAAAGAUCCCCUCCCCGAUUUUUGGAAUCUCAGUAAGUAGGACAAGCUUUUACGCAAGGGGUUUGCCAUCAGAACGCAGGUGUUGGGAAAGCCACCGCUAAUUUAAAGCAAAAAUGGGGAAGGAAAAGACUCACAUCAACAUCGUCUCCGGCAAGUCCACCACAACCGGCCACCUGAUCUACAAAUGUGAUGGAAUCGACAAGCGAACAAUCGAAAAGUUUGAGAAGGAGGCUGCUGAGAUGGGAAAGGGCUCCUUCAAGUACGCCUGGGUCUUAGACAAACUGAAAGCUGAGCGUGAGUGUGGUAUCACUAUUGACAUCUAUCUCCCUGUGGAAAUUCGAGACCAGCGAAUACUACGUGACCAUCAUUGAUGCCCCAGGACACAGAGACUUCAUCAAAAACAUGACUACAGGCACAUCCCAGGCUGACUGUGCUGUCCCGAUUGUUGCUGCUGGUGUUGGUGAAUUUGAAGCUGGUAUCUCCAAGAAUGGGCAGACCCACGAGCAUGCUCUUCUGGCUUACACCCUGGGUGUGAAACAGCUGAUUGUUGGUGUCAACAAAAUGGAUUCUACCGAGCCACCAUACAGUCAGAAGAGAUGUGAGGAGAUCGUUAAGGAAGUCAGCACCUGCAUUAAGAAAAUUGGCUACAACCCUGACCCAGUAGCAUUUGUGCCAAUUUCUGGUUUGGAAUGGUGACAACAUGCUGGAGCCAAGUGCUAAUAUGCCUUGGUUCAAGGGAUGGAAAGUCACCUGCAAAGAUGGCAGUGCCAGUGGCACCACUCUGCUGGAAGCUUUGGAUUGUAUCCUACCACCAACUUGUCCAACUGACAAGCCUCUGCGACUGCCCCUCCAGGAUGUCUAUAAAAUUGGAGGCAUUGGCACUGUCCCUGUGGGCCGAGUGGAGACUGGUGUUCUCAAACCUGGCAUGGUGGUUACCUUUGCUCCAGUCAAUGUAACAACUGAAAUCAAGUCUGUUGAAAUGCACCAUGAAGCAUUGAGUGAAGCUCUUCCUGGGGACAAUGUGGGCUUCAAUGUAAAGAACGUGUCGGUCAAAGAUGUUAGAGAGGCAUUGUUGCUGGUGACAGCAAAAACGACCCACCAAUGGAAGCAGCUGGCUUCACUGCUCAGGUGAUUAUCCUGAACCAUCCAGGCCAAAUCAGUACUGGCUAUGCUCCUGUUCUGGAUUGUCACACAGCCCACAAAGCAUGCAAGUUUUUCUGAGCUUAAAGAAAAGAUCGAUCGUCGUUCUGGUAAGAAGCUGGAAGAUGGCCCCAAAUUCCUGAAGUCCGGUGACGCUGCCAUUGUUGAUUUGGUCCCUGGCAAGCCCAUGUGUGUUGAGAGCUUCUCUGACUAUCCUCUACUUGGUUGUUUUGCUGUUCGUGACAUGAGGCAGGCAGUUGCUGUGGGAGUCAUCAAAGCUGUGGACAAGAAGGCUGCUGGAGCUGGCAAAGUCACCGAGUCUGCCCAGAAAGCUCAGAAGGCUAAAUGAAUAUUACCCCUAACACCUGCCACCCCAGUCUUAAUCAGUGGUGGAAGAACGGCCUCAGAACUGUUUGUCUCAAUUGGCCAUUUAAGUUUAAUAGCAGAAGACUGGUUAAUGAUAACAGUGCAUCGUAAAACCUUCAGAAGGAAAGAAUGUUUUGUGAACCAUUUUGUGUGUGUGUGUGGCAGUUUUAAGUUAUUGGUUUUCAAAAUCAGUACUUUUUAAUGGAAACAACUUGACCAAAAAUCUGUCACAGAAUUUUGAGACCAUUAAAACAAGUUUAAUGAGAAA